AUCUAGCUAACUAGUCGCAAAUAAAACGAAACGUACGUCCUAGAU
rnacentral:hammerhead_ribozyme from 1 species